rnacentral:tRNA from 1 species
GGAAGAGUGGCCGAGUGGUCGAAGGCGCGCGCCUGGAAAGUGCGUAUAGGGGCCAAAACCUCUAUCAAGGGUUCGAAUCCCUUCUCUUCCG